UACUGAGGGUGCGAGCGUUAAUCGGAAUUACUGGGCGUAAAGCGCGCGUAGGCGGCUUUGCAAGUCGGGUGUGAAAUCCCCAGGCUUAACCUGGGAACUGCAUUCGAGACUGCAUUGCUAGAGUAUGGGAGAGGGAAGUGGAAUUUCCGGUGUAGCGGUGAAAUGCGUAGAUAUCGGAAGGAACAUCAGUGGCGAAAGCGACUUCCUGGACCAAUACUGACGCUCAUGUGCGAAAGCGUGGGGAGCAAACAGG
rnacentral:rRNA from 1 species